rnacentral:ncRNA from 1 species
AAUAUGCAGUGGCUUGGUUAAGGGAACCCACUGGAGCCGUAGCGAAAGCGAGUCUUCAUAGGGCAAUUGUCACUGAUUAUGGACCCGAACCUGGGUGAUCUAUCCAUAACCAGGAUGAAGCUUGGGUGAAACUAAGUGGAGGUCCGAACCGACUGAUGUUGAAGAAUCAGCGGAUAAGUUGUGGUUAGGGGUGAAAUGCCACUCGAGCUAUAGGCUUG